ACCUUAUUAGUAUAAUAAGUAUUAUUAACUUCCAAUUAAUAGGUUUUAUAGGGUAAUCCUGUU
rnacentral:tRNA from 1 species